UAACUGCUUCACAUCAACGCCUUCCCCUAAUGUUGUCUCUCUUUUCCAUUCAUUCACCACAAAUCCCCAAACGCUGAGACGGAGAGAAAAGAAAGGGAAGAGAGAAGAGAGGGCUGAACGGAGAAGAAGGAAGGGAGGGGGAGGACCGCCACCACCGAGCCGCCGAACCGAGCCGCCAAAGCUCGUUCGUUCAUAAACAGCACCAAAAAGAUUCACAACCAGCAAUUUCAAUAUGUGUACAGAAAGAAAGUGGCUGAGAAACUGAGUUUGCAUUCAGAAGUAAAUCUGUUGAAGAUGCUGGUUUUUAGGGCAGCUCUUCAAAACAUUUGCAAUCACCAAAUGUUCCGUAAAUUGCCAAAGUUUUGGUAGAGCUGAAGAUUAGUUGGUUAGAGGCUCAAGGCCUAUUACAGCCCCCUCUUGACCAUGCUCCCUACAUUGUGGUGAUUGAAGGUUUUGAAUUUGAAGGAUGAGUUGUGGCAUGAGAAAAUCCAAAUAAAACAAAAUGGUGUGUUACCAAGUGGAUAUGCACAGAAGAUUGGGUUCUAAAUAUGGGAAAAUUGGCUGAACUACGGAUGGUAGAUACCAUGAUUUAAUUGUUCUUGUCUUAAUCCUGAAUCCUUUUCUUUCCGAAAUUGAAGAGGGGCUCACAUUUGUUUAAUAUUUGAAUCUCUAUUUUCUUAUCAUGAAUGCUGUGUUUUUGCUGCUCCAUAAAUGACACAUUGGUUGUCAAAUCAUUGUGGUGGUGAAAAGAUCUAGUAGGCUCAACGUAAAAAUUGUCUCAAGUAGUAACCAAGUUGAGUGUCUCUUGUUGAAGGCUAUCACAUCGGCCAAGCUUCUUAUCGGUGAAGCAAUCAAGUCCAUGAGGUAUGCAUUCAAGGUUAGUUUGAAUUCGAUCUCCAUUGCAAUUCCUUCACUUUGAUCAUUUCUGAUUUCAUUUAUGUUGUCUACUACUACUACUACUACUACUACUACUACUACUACUACUACUACUAGUUUCUCUUUGAUACUCUUGAGCACAUAUCACUCUUGUUUAGAAUUGACUGCAGCACAACUUGAAUGGAAGUUUCCUCUUGCUUAGAGUUGCAACACUACUAUUACUACUACUUUUAGCACAACUUGAAACUACUACUUGUAACAGAAUUUGAAUUUAGGUUUCCUCUUGCUUAGAGUUGACAAGUUGACAAUGAAACUACUACUUGUAACACAACCUGAAUUUAGAUUUCCUCUUGCUUAGAGUUGACAACAACACAACUACUACUACUAUUUUCUCUUGCUUAGAGUUGACAGCACCACAACCACUACUACAACUUGAAUUUAGGUUUCCUCUUCUUUAGAGUUGAAUUUAACACAACUAAUACUUCGUCUUUCUUAUAGUUGACAACAAUACAACUAGUACUAUUACUACUACUACUACUUGUAGCACAACUUGAAUUUAGGUUUUCUCUUGCUUAGAGUUGCAACACUAUUACUAACACUACUACUACUACUUCUUGAAACUACUACUUGUAGCACAAUUUGAAUUUAGGUUUCUUCUUGUUUAGAGUUGACAGCACAACUACUACUACUUGUAGCACAACUUAAAACUACUACUUGUAGCACAAUUUGAAUUUAGGUUUCCUCUUGUUUAGAGUUGACAACAAUACAACUAUUAUUACUACUAGUAGCACAACUUGAAAUUAGAUUUUCUCUUGUUUAGAGUUGACAACACAACUAUUACUACUACUACUACUUGUAGCACAAUUUGAAACUACUACUACUGCUUGUAGCACAACUUGAAUUUAGGUUUCCUCUUGUUUAGAGUUGACAACACAACUACUACUACUACUGCUUGUAGCACAACUUGAAUUUAGGAUGCCUCUUGUUUAGAGUUAACAACAGCACAACUACUAUUACUACUACUUGUAGCAUAACUUGAAUUUAGGUAUCCUCUUGUUUAGAGUUGACAACACAACUACUACUACUUGUAGCACAACUUGAAAUUACUGCUUGUAGCACAACUUGAAUUUUAGGUUUCCUCUUUCUUAGAGUUAACAAUAGCAGAACUACUGCUACUAUUACUACUUUGUCUUUCUUAGACAUGACAACAACACAACUACUACUAUUUGUAGCACAACCUGAAUUUAAGUUUCCUCUUAUUUAGAGUUGACAACACAACUACUACUACUUGUAGCACAACUUGAAACUACUGCUUGUAGAACAACUUGAAACUACUACUUGUAGCACAACUGAAUUUAGGUUUUCUCUUGUUUAGAGUUGACAACAACACAACUACUAUUACUACUACUUGUAGCACAACUAAUUUAUGUUUCUUCUCUUUUAGAGUUGACAACAACACAACUACUACUACUACUACUACUACUACUACUUGUAGCACAACUUGAAUUUAGGUUUCCUCUUUCUUAGAGUUAACAACAGCAAAACUACUGCUACUAUUACUACUUUGUCUUGCUUAGACAUGACAACAACGCAACUACUACUAGUAGCACAAUUUGAAUUUAAGUUUCCUCUUGUUUAGAGUUGACAAAACAACUACUACUACUUGUAACACAACUUGAAACUAUUGCUUGUAGAACAACUUGAAACUACUACUUGUAGCCACAACUGAAUUUAGGUUUCUUCUUGGUUAGAGUUGACAACAACACAACUACUAUUACUACUACUUGUAGCACAACUUGAAUUUAGGUUUCCUCUUUCUUAGAGUUAACAACAGCAGUACUACUGCUACUAUUACUACUUUAUCUUGCUUAGACAUGACAACACCACAACUAUUACUGUUAGUAGCACAACUUGAAUUUAAGUUUUCUCUUGUUUAGACUUGAUAACACAACUACUACUACUUGUAGCACAACUUGAAACUACUACUUGUAGAACAACUUUAAACUACUACUUGUAGCACAACUGAAUUUAGGUUUCCUCUUGUUUAGAGUUGACAACAACACAACUAUUAUUACUAUUACUUGUAGCACAACUUGGAACUACUACUUGUAGCACAACUAAUUUGUUUUUUCUCUUUUAGAGUUGACAACACAACAACUACUACUACUUGUAGCACAACUUGAAUUUAGGUUUCCUCUUGUUUAGAGUUGACAACAACACAACUACUAUUACUACUACUUGUAGCACAACUUGAGACUACAGAACUUGAAACUACUUGUAGCACAACUAAUUUAUGUUUCUUCUCUUCUAGAGUUGACAAUAACACAACUACUACUACUACUUGUAGCACAACUUGAAUUUAGGUUUCCUCUUUCUUAGUGUCAACACCAGUAGAACUAUUGCUACUAUUACUACUUUGUCUUGCUUAGAGUUGACAACACAACUACUACUACUAGUAGCACAACUUGAAUUUAAGUUUCCUCUUGUUUAGAGUUGACAAAAUAACUACUACUACUUGUAGCACAACUUGAAACUACUGCUUGUAGAACAACUUGAAACUACUACUUGUAGCCACAACUGAAUUUAGGUUUCCUCUUGUUUAGAGUUGACAACAACACAACUGCUAUUACUACUACUUGUAGCACCACUUGAAUUUAGGUUUCCUCUUUCUUAGAGUUAACAACAGCAGAACUACUUCUACUAUUACUACUUUGUCUUGCUUAGACAUGACAACAACACAACUACUACUACUAGUAGCACAACUUGAAUUUAAGUUUCCUCUUGUUUAGAGUUGACAACACAACUACUACUACUUGUAGAACAACUUGAAACUAUUGCUUGUAGAAUAACUUGAAACUACUACUUGUAGCACAAUUGAAUUUAGGUUUCCUCUUAUUUAGAGUUGACAACGAUACUACUACUUGUAGCACAACUUGAAACUACUACUUGUAACACAACUAAUUUAUGUUUCUUCUCUUUUAGAGUUGACAACAAAACAACUACUACUACUCUUACUACUUGUAGCACAACUUGAAUUUAGGUUUCCUCUUUCUUAGAGUUAACAACAGCAGAACUACUGCUACUAUUAGUACUUUGUCUUGCUUAGACUUGACAACAACACAACAACUACUACUAGUAGCACAACUUGAAUUUAAGUUUCCUCUUGUUUAGAGUUGACAACACAACUACUACUACUUGUUGCACAACUUGAAACUACUACUUAUAACAUAACUUGAAUUUAGGUUUUCUCUUGCUUAGAGUUGACUACUACUACUUGUAGUACAACUUCAAACUACAACUUGGAGCACAACUUGAAUUUAGGUUUCCUCUUCCUUAGAGUUGACAAUAACACAACUACUACUUCGUCUUUCU